GUCUUUUCUAAAAUACACAGGAGUGGAAUUACUAGGUCACGAGGUAGCUCUAUUUUUUUUUUUUUUUGAGGAACCUCCAUACUGUCUAGUGGCUGUGCCAAUUUACUUUCCCACCAGCAGUGCAUGAGGGCUCCCUUUUCUCCACACCCUCCCCAACACUUGUGAUUUGUUGUCUUUUUUUUUUUUUUUUUUUUUUUUUUGCGGUACCCCGGCCUGUCACUGUUGUGGCCUCUCCCGUUGCAGAGCACAGGCUCCGGACGCAAAGGCUCAGCGGCCAUGGCUCACGGGCCCAGCUGCUCCACAGCAUAUGGGAUCUUCCCGGACCGGGGCACGAACCCGUGUCGCCUGCAUCAGCAGGCGGACUCCCAACUACUGCGCCACCAGGGAAGCCCCUGUUGUCAUUUUGAUGAGUCAUUCUGACAGGUGUGAGUGAUCCACUGCUUGUUUAGUAGCAUAUUCCCCACAAGGGAAGAGAACAAAAGAAGAAAGGGAGAAAAAAUAACUACAAAAACAACGCCCAAAACAAUUAACAAAAUGGCAAUAAGUGGGACUUCCCUGGUGGCACAGUGGUUAAGAAUCCACCUGCCAAUGCAGGGGACCCAGGUUCGAGCCCUGAUCCGGGAAGAUCCCACAUGCCACAAAGCAACUAAGCCCAUGCGCCACAACUACUGAGCCUGUGCUCUAGAGCCUGUGAGCCACAACUACUGAAGCCCACGCACCUAGAGCCUAUGCUCUGCAACAAGAGAAGCCACCGCAAUGAGAAGCCCGCACGCCACAAUGAAGAGUAGCCCCCGCUCACCGCAACUAGAGAAAGCCUGCACACAGCAACGAAGACCUGAUGGCUGCAUCAGCCUGCAUAAAUAAAUAAAUUUAUUUUUUUAAUGGCAAUAAGUACAUACCUAUCAAUAAUUACUUUAAAUGUAAUUGGACUAAAUGCUCCAAGACAUAGAGUGACUGAAUGGAUACAAAUAGAAGACCCAUACAUAUGCUGCCUUCAAGAGACUCAUUUCAGAUCAAAAGGCAUACUGAAAGUGAGAGGAUGGAAAAAGGCAUUCUAUGCAAAGGGAAAUGAAAAGAAAGCUGGAGUAGCAAUACUUGUGUCAGACAAAAUAGAUUUUGAAACAAAGACUUUAACAGGAGGCAAAGGACAUUACAUUGUGAUCAAGGGAUCAAUCCAAAGAAGACAUAACUGUAUAUAUAUAUUCACCCAACACAGGAGCACCUAAAUACAUAAAACAAAUAUUAACAGACAUAAAGGGAGAAAUUGACAGUAACACAAUAUUAGUAGGUGACUUUAACACACCACUUAGAUCGAUGGACAUAUCAUCCAGACAGAAAACACUGGCCUUGAAUGACACAUUAGAACAAAUGGAAUAUAUACAUAAAACAUCCCAUCCAAAAGGAGCAGAAUACACAUUCUUUUCAAGUACAUAUGGAACAUUCUCCAGGAUAGAGUCAUAAACUGGGGUUGGUAAAUUUAAGAAAAUUGAAAAUCAUAGCAAGCAUCUUUUCUGACCACAAUGCUGUGAUACUAGAAAUCAAGUAUAAGAAAAAAAACAGAAACAAAAAAACCCCUGCAAACACACGAACAUGUAGAGGCUAAAUAAUAUUCUACCGUUUCUUUUAAAAAACAAGAGGAAGUUUUCAGUAAUGAUGGUUGCUGAGAAUAACUGAAAAUGCUGUGAUACAGAUGGCAGAUGGUGGUAGCCAGUUUUCUCACUGUUGGAGUAGGAGGUUACAGAUAAGCAAGGGAAGACGGCUAGAAUGAUCCAUGUGGCAGUGAAUUACAGUUGGAAACACCAGGAUAAAUGAUGUUUAGCUUAAUAUCGAUACAGACAAUUCCAUAUAGAAAUAUUUCUAGUUAUGUGUAUACACACAUGUAUUGCACUGUCAACUGAGUGGGCCAAGAAGCAAGGACACUCCAGUGGCGAUGAGCACACUUAGCUCCCAGUUUAGGUUUCUGAUGCCAUUCUCCAAUUAAAGGAAUCAAGUCUCCUUGGAGAAAUGGCUGAUUCUAGGACUGAGGCAGAAAAUGUACAAAUGCCUGGAGAACACUAGUGCCAGAAAGUAAGGAAGUGCUCAAACACAAAAACAAUGAUCAAGGAGAUGAAGUUAUGUCAAAGGGACACAGGAGCCAAGUGAAGAAGCUUUGAAUGGCCAAAGCUGGAACAAUUAGAGCAAUAAAAUAAAGUAGUAUUGAAUUAUAAUCCAAAGUAUAAAAUAAAUAUCCAUGAGUUCAUAUUGAUAUAAAUAAAUGGGAGAAAACAGAAAUCUUCCUUGUAGAAGAAAUCCAAGUAAUUUCUAUAGGCAAUUUGCCAUUACAGAGGUGAAGUUCUUUAAGGCUGAGCUUAAAUCACAUAAUGAUUUUCUUCCAAAGAGUACAUACGGGGACGUCCCUGGUGGUGCAGUGGUUAAAAAUCCGCCUGCCAAUGCAGGGGAUGCACGUUCGAUCCCUGGUCCAGGAAGAUGCCACCUGCUGCAGAGCUACUAAGCCCAUGCACCACAAUUACUGAGCCCACAUGUUGCAACUACUGAAGCCCAAGCAUCUAGAGCCCGUGCUCUGCAACAAGAGAAGCCACCACAAUGAGAAGCCUACACAUCGCAACGGAGAGCAGCCCCCCGCUCACCGCAACUAGAGAAAGCCUGUGUGUAGCAAAGGCCCAAUGCAGCACCCCCCCCCACCCAAAAAAAAGAGUACAUAUAAUGUAGACAGGGGAAAAA